rnacentral:rRNA from 1 species
CACGUAGGGGGCAAGCGUUGUCCGGAUUUAUUGGGCGUAAAGAGCUCGUAGGCGGCUCAGUAAGUCAGGUGUGAAACCUCCAGGCUCAACCUCGAGACGCCACCUGAUACUGCUGUGGCUAGAGUCCGGUAGGGGAGCGUGGAAUUCCUGGUGUAGCGGUGAAAUGCGCAGAUAUCAGGAGGAACACCAGCGGCGAAGGCGGCGCUCUGGGCCGGUACUGACACUGAGGAGCGAAAGCAUGGGGAGCAAACAGG